rnacentral:rRNA from 1 species
AAGGUGAUUAUUGCAAUAGGGCUCACCUCUUCCCAUCUCGAACAGAGAAGUUAAGCCUAUUAGCGCAGAUGGUACUGCCCCUGGGUGGGAGAGUAUGUCAUCGCCUUUA